CCUACGGGGGGCUGCAGUCGAGAAUCUUCGGCAAUGGGCGCAAGCCUGACCGAGCGACGCCGCGUGGAGGACGAAGGCCUUCGGGUUGUAAACUCCUGUCGAGGGGGAGGAAGGCGCAAGCUUGACCGAUCCCUGGAGGAAGCACGGGCUAAGUUCGUGCCAGCAGCCGCGGUAAGACGAACCGUGCGAACGUUAUUCGGAAUCACUGGGCUUAAAGCGCGUGUAGGCGGAUGGGCGCAUCGAUCGCUGAAAUCCCCCGGCUCAACCGGGGAACU
rnacentral:rRNA from 1 species